GAUAUACUGUUUUGUUUGUUUGUUCGCUAUAAUUCAACCGACAAAAUUUAUACGGGAGUCCGAUUGUACUGGUUGGGAUAAAAUGCCCUUAGGGGACUUUAGAGUAAUUGGUCAGGACACCCACCUGCUUACCGGCGGGGUGAAUUAUUAGAAUUGACGGCACGACGGUAUAUUU
rnacentral:other from 1 species